UAUCAUGCUGGUCGUGUUUCCAGAGCAGUGUUAUUGACACUGUAAAUUAGAGGAGGCACACAUCAGGUAUCUGACAGAUCCGAGGCAUCCACAGCAAACUUAUAAUCGCAGCUCUGUCACAGUGGUCUAGACAUAACAGCAAACCUGGCAGAACCAGAGAGAAGACCGAUGGCGGUUGCUAAGGAGUGGCUGGCACGAGUCGCCAAGCCAGGGUCUGUGGUCUAACGGAAGGAACAUGGAGGUGAAGACAGCUGAGGUGCUGGGCAUCGGCUUUGGUGUUUGGUGUUUUGAGCUGUGCAUCAAUUAGGAAGAAACUUUCUGAGCCCUAGAAUGUGCCCAUUGUGCCAUCUGCUAUGCAGUUGUUCUGCCGUGCGUGUCUCUGUGCCUACAUUUGUACUUGUGUACACCAGUCCCCACCCACCGUUCCACUCAACUACACAGGAAAAAGAAGAUGAAGCAGAGGAGCAAAGGAGCCCAAAGAGAAAUUAUUAUUGAUUUAAUCACAUAAUCAGCCGCAA